rnacentral:rRNA from 1 species
UACGGGGGGGGCAAGCGUUGUUCGGAAUUACUGGGCGUAAAGGGCUCGUAGGUGGCCAACUAAGUCAGACGUGAAAUCCCUCGGCUUAACCGGGGAACUGCGUCUGAUACUGGAUGGCUGGAGAUUGGGAGAGGGAUGCGGAAUUCCAGGUGUAGCGGUGAAAUGCGCAGAUAUCGGGAGGAACACCAAUGGCGAAGGCAGCUCGCUGGGACGUUACUGACGCUGAGACGCGAAAGCGUGGGGAGCAAACAGG